rnacentral:rRNA from 1 species
ACGUACGGAGGCAUCUCCUGUACGUGGAAAGAAUUUCGGUCAAGGAUGGACUCGCGGCCUAUCAGGUAGUUGGUGAGGUAACGGCCCACCAAGCCUACGACGGGUAGCCGGCCUGAGAGGGUGACCGGCCACACUGGGACUGAGACACGGCCCAGACUCCUACGGGAGGCAGCAGUGGGGAAUAUUGCACAAUGGGCGCAAGCCUGAUGCAGCAACGCCGCGUGAGGGACGACGGCCUUCGGGUUGUAAACCUCUUUUAGUAGGGAAGAAGCGAAAGUGACGGUACCUGCAGAAAAAGCACCGGCUAACUACGUGCCAGCAGCCGCGGUAAUACGUAGGGUGCAAGCGUUGUCCGGAAUUAUUGGGCGUAAAGAGCUCGUAGGCGGUUUGUCGCGUCUGCUGUGAAAUCCCGAGGCUCAACCUCGGGCCUGCAGUGGGUACGGGCAGACUAGAGUGCGGUAGGGGAGAUUGGAAUUCCUGGUGUAGCGGUGGAAUGCGCAGAUAUCAGGAGGAACACCGAUGGCGAAGGCAGAUCUCUGGGCCGUAACUGACGCUGAGGAGCGAAAGCGUGGGGAGCGAACAGGAUUAGAUACCCUGGUAGUCCACGCCGUAAACGUUGGGAACUAGAUGUGGGGACCAUUCCACGGUCUCCGUGUCGCAGCUAACGCA